rnacentral:tRNA from 1 species
AGGAUUAUAGUUAAUAAUAACAUUUAAUUUGCAAUUAAAAGGUACUCAAGAGUUAAUCUUA